rnacentral:rRNA from 1 species
UAUCUCUGUAGAGUCUGCAUAUCAAUAAGCGGAGGAAAAGAAACUAACAAGGAUUCCCCUAGUAACGGCGAGUGAAGCGGGAAGAGCUCAAAUUUGAAAUCUUAAAGGGUUUCCCUUUACGAAUUGUAGUUUAAAGAAGUGUUUUCUGUUGGAGUUUCGGUAAAAGUUCUUUGGAAUAGGACAUCAUAGAGGGUGAGAAUCCCGUAUUUGACCGUUACUUUCUAGCUGUGUGAUACACUUUCAAAGAGUCGGAUUGUUUGGGAAUGCAGUCCAAAAUGGGUGGUAAAUUUCAUCUAAAGCUAAAUAUUGGCGAGAGACCGAUAGCGAACAAGUACCGUGAGGGAAAGAUGAAAAGAACUUUGAAAAGAGAGUUAAACAGUACGUGAAAUUGUCAAAAGGGAAGCGUUUGACACCAGUGUUGUUUAGUUGAAAAUCAAUUAAAUAGUUUUCGAUUUUAAGUAGUAUUGACCUUAUCAGCUUGCUGCUUUCUUCUCGGAAAUUAUUUAAUGCACUUUUCAGUUAACAAGUCAACAUCAAUUUCUUUUGUUGUAAAAAGGUAAGAGGAAGGUGGCUUGCGCUUCGGCUCAAGUGUUUAUAGCCUUUUACUUCUGCAAUCGGAGAGAUUGAGGUCUGCAGCGUAGAUCCUUCGGGGUUAGAUACAUUUGUGCUAAGCUAUAGCCUUGUAUAGACAACUUGUUGACUAUGCUCAGUCAUGUAGCUUACUCGCUUAUGCUAUUUUACCUACGCUUAGGAUGUUGAACGCGCACAGAGUCUC